ensembl:snRNA U6 U6 spliceosomal RNA
GUAUUCUUAUACAGCACAUAUAUUAAAACUGGAGCUAUACAGAAAAGAUUAGCAUGGUCUCUGUGUGAGGGUGACACACACAUUCAUGAAGUGUUCCAUGUUUUU